rnacentral:rRNA from 1 species
AAUGAACGCUGGCGGCGUGCCUAACACAUGCAAGUCGUGCGCGAAAGGGGCUUCGGCCCCGAGUAGAGCGGCAGACGGGUGAGUAACACGUGGGUAACCUGCCCAGAAGUGGGGGAUAACCUGGGGAAACUCGGGCUAAUACCGCAUACGUUCGCGGGGUUCUGCUCCGCGAGGAAAGCCGGCCUAUGCUUGCAAGCUGGCGCUUUUGGAGGGGCCCGCGGCUGAUUAGCUUGUUGGUGGGGUAAUGGCCUACCAAGGCGACGAUCAGUAGCCGGCCUGAGAGGGUGAACGGCCACACUGGAACUGAGACACGGUCCAGACUCCUACGGGAGGCAGCAGUGGGGAAUAUUGGACAAUGGGCGCAAGCCUGAUCCAGCAACGCCGCGUGGAGGAAGAAGGCCUUCGGUUGUAAACUCCUGUCCCGAGGGACGAAGUAGGUGACGGUACCUUGGGAGGAAGCCCCGGCUAACUCCGUG